rnacentral:rRNA from 1 species
CCUACGGGAGGCUGCAGUGGGGGAUAUUGCACAAUGGGGGGAACCCUGAUGCAGCGACGCCGCGUGGGUGAAGGAGUGCUUCGGCAUGUAAAGCCCUAUCGGCAGGGAAGAAGCAAGACGGUACCUGACUAAGAAGCCCCGGCUAACUACGUGCCAGCAGCCGCGGUAAUACGUAGGGGGCGCGCGUUAUCCGGAUUCACUGGGUGUAAAGGGAGCGUAGACGGCCAUGCAAGCCAGGGGUGAAAGCCCGGGGCCCAACCCCGGGACUGCCCUUGGAACUGGGCGGCUAGAGUGCGGGUGGGGCAGGCGGAAUUCCUGGUGUAGCGGUGAAAUGCGUAGAUAUCAGGAGGAACACCAGUGGCGAAGGCGGCCUGCUGGGCUUUAACUGACGCUGAGGCUCGAAAGCGUGGGGAGCAAACAGGAUUAGAUACCCGUGUAGUC